GUUCCCUUUAACGCUUCAUUG
rnacentral:miRNA from 2 species